AGAGUUUGAUCCUGGCUCAGGACGAACGCUGGCGGCGUGCCUAACACAUGCAAGUUGAGCGAGGAGAUUCCCUUCGGGGAUGAACCUAGCGGCGGACGGGUGAGUAACACGUGGGCAACCUGCCUUAUAGAGGGGAAUAGCCUUCCGAAAGGAAGAUUAAUACCGCAUAACAUUACAUUUUCGCAUGAAGAAGUAAUUAAAGGAGUAAUCCGCUAUAAGAUGGGCCCGCGGCGCAUUAGCUAGUUGGUGAGGUAACGGCUCACCAAGGCGACGAUGCGUAGCCGACCUGAGAGGGUGAUCGGCCACAUUGGGACUGAGACACGGCCCAAACUCCUACGGGAGGCAGCAGUGGGGAAUAUUCCGCAAUGGACGAAAGUCUGACGGAGCAACGCCGCGUGAGUGAUGAAGGUUUUCGGACUGUAAAGCUCUGUUGUUUGGGACGAAAGUGCCUGUUGCGAACAGUUACGGGUAUUGACGGUACUAAACGAGGAAGCCACGGCUAACUACGUGCCAGCAGCCGCGGUAAUACGUAGGUGGCAAGCGUUGUCCGGAAUUAUUGGGCGUAAAGAGCAUGUAGGCGGGAAUCUAAGUCUGUUGUUAAAAUGCGGGGCUCAACCCCGUAUUGCGAUGGAAACUGGGUUUCUUGAGUGCAGGAGAGGAAAGGGGAAUUCCCAGUGUAGCGGUGAAAUGCGUAGAUAUUGGAAGGAACACCAGUGGCGAAGGCGGCCUACUGGGCACUAACUGACGCUGAAGGCUCGAAGCAUGGGUAGCAAACAGGAUUAGAUACCCUGGUAGUCCAUGCCGUAAACGAUGAUUACUAGGUGGUGGGG
rnacentral:rRNA from 1 species